rnacentral:rRNA from 1 species
CCUACGGGAGGCAGCAGUGGGGAAUAUUGGACAAUGGGCGCAAGCCUGAUCCAGCCUUACCGCGUGGGUGAAGAAGGCCUUCGGGUUGUAAAGCCCUUUUGUUGGGAAAGAAAAGCAGUCGGUUAAUACCCGGUUGUUCUGACGGUACCCAAAGAAUAAGCACCGGCUAACUUCGUGCCAGCAGCCGCGGUAAUACGAAGGGUGCAAGCGUUACUCGGAAUUACUGGGCGUAAAGCGUGCGUAGGUGGUUGUUUAAGUCUGUUGUGAAAGCCCUGGGCUCAACCUGGGAAUUGCAGUGGAUACUGGGCGACUAGAGUGUGGUAGAGGGUAGUGGAAUUCCCGGUGUAGCAGUGAAAUGCGUAGAGAUCGGGAGGAACAUCCAUGGCGAAGGCAGCUACCUGGACCAACACUGACACUGAGGCACGAAAGCGUGGGGAGCAAACAGGAUUAGAUACCCUGGUAGUCCACGCCCUAAACGAUGCGAACUGGAUGUUGGGUGCAAUUUGGCACGCAGUAUCGAAGCUAACGCGUUAAGUUCGCCGCCUGGGGAGUACGGUCGCAAGACUGAAACUCAAAGGAAUUGACGG